AGUCGCUUUCUUUACAAUAUGAACUUCAGCUCAUCGGUUACAGGGCAUAAUGUUUAGCUCAUGGUUGUAAGUUCAAGUCUCACUAGAAACAUUCUCUUUUACUCUUUUUUUCUGGAAUGCUUUGAUUUGCUUUUCUUUGUCGAGGGUACAUACACUGGGUAUGUUGUUGUCUUCUUGUUGUAGUAUUAGGAGUAGGACUGAAAUUGUACCGUUUAAGCAAAGAAUGUGGGUAAUUAUUGUACCAUGUAAACUGUAAAAGAAAUAGAAUUAUUUUGAGCUUUUGUUAAAAAAUAGUGGUCAAUUUCGGAUUUUUUUCCCUCUCAUAUUGACAACUAGGCAGGGUAUAUUAGGAAAUGCACACAGAAAUGACAACAUUUUAGGUUUCAGGAAAUCUAUAUAAAACGAAGAAGGUGUUAGCCUUUAACCUCAAACUACUUGAUCUUAUCUGAGCAGUGGGUAGCGGCGAAGACGGUAACGGAAAUAUAACCGGUGCAGUUAGAGAGGAGUUACCGCCCUAUUAAUUUAGGGUUUAAUGGCGGCUCCGUUAAUCUCUUUCUCUGCCUUCCAAUUUUCCGUUACCCCUUUUGCCCUGCUUUACUGUGAUGAAGACUGUCUGCUAUCUGAGCCUAUCGAUAAAUCGGGGCGAUGAGGGUUUCUGCGGACUUUACAAUAAUACCCUCACAAAAACAAGUUUUUAUUAUUUGCUAUUAGCUGCCAUGAUGACGGAAGCCGCUCUUUGCUUUGGCAAAUGAAAUUCAUGGUUGAAGGCUGUUGAAAUAAAGCACUCCUUUGCUGGUGCAGAUGGCGCCUCAGCUGCCAAACUAAUUGGAGUUGGUUCAAUAUUGUUUUAUUGAAGUCCAGUUGUGAAUUUCUGCAAUGAAGUUGCUCUACUAUUUUAUACCAGUAAUCUGAGAGGCGUUCGUUACCUUCUA